AGAAGGAAGCUUUGGGCAGCCUCCGCCCAAUCAAUCAUAACAACCACGGAAGUUGACCAUCUAUGUUCCCAUAAAGGGCGACAUUGUACUUGUGUGUCAUUGGGAAGAUGGCCUUCCAUGACCGGCUGCAUCAGUAGCCCUCGUGGGUGAACAUCUUAAGGGAGGUGGCGCAGGCAGUGCAGCAGGAAACCGGGCAGACUCCUUUUAAGGCCCAGUGACUCCUGAGCCUCCAACACUGCUCAUGUGGAAGGAGAUUCGCUGCUGUGACAGAGGCAGGGAAGCUGAAGAUAUGGCACACCCGUGUAAGCCAAGCAUCUCUUGACACCAUUCCCAGUGCUGGAGCCUUCAAAGAACAUUCGAGAGCUGGAGGAGUCGGCUUGCUCUGUGAAGAGAUUCCAACUGGUGUGUGUCCUUGCUGAGGGUUCUAAUUGCCGAGGAGGAGGAAGUAUGCUGAGGGUCACAAAAAAGACAGGGCCUGGGGGUGUUGCCCAGAUUGCUCUCAGAACUCUUGGGCUUAAGUAACUCUCCUGUUGCAGCCUCCAAGUCACUGGGAUUUGUGGCAUGCAUCAUGUUAGUUGGCUUUUUGUUGACUUCUUUGAUUGUGGCCCAAGUUCUAAACGCUUUAUAUUCCCAUCUCAUUUAGUCAACUCAAAAGACACUUGCUGAUUUCUUAUCAGG
rnacentral:lncRNA from 1 species